GUAGGUGGCAAGCGUUGUCCGGAAUUAUUGGGCGUAAAGCGCGCGCAGGCGGUUCUUUAAGUCUGAUGUGAAAGCCCACGGCUCAACCGUGGAGGGUCAUUGGAAACUGGAGAACUUGAGUACAGAAGAGGAAAGCGGAAUUCCACGUGUAGCGGUGAAAUGCGUAGAGAUGUGGAGGAACACCAGUGGCGAAGGCGGCUUUCUGGUCCGUAACUGACGCUGAGGCGCGAAAGCGUGGGGAGCAAACAGGGAUUAGAUACCCUGGUAGUCCACGCCGUAAACGAUGAGUGCUAAGUGUUAGGGGGUUUCCCGCCCCUUAGUGCUGCAGCUAACGCAUUAAGCACUCCGCCUGGGGAGUACGGCCGCAAGGCUG
rnacentral:rRNA from 1 species